rnacentral:rRNA from 1 species
AAAGAGCUCGUAGGCGGUUUGUCGCGUCGGCUGUGAAAACCUGAGGCUCAACCUCGGGCCUGCAGUCGAUACGGGCAAACUAGAGUUCGGUAGGGGAGACUGGAAUUCCUGGUGUAGCGGUGGAAUGCGCAGAUAUCAGGAGGAACACCGGUGGCGAAGGCGGGUCUCUGGGCCGAAACUGACGCUGAGGAGCGAAAGCGUGGGGAGCGAACAGGAUUAGAUACCCGAGU